AUGCGACCCCAGGUCAGGCGGGACUACCCCCCUGAAUUUAAGCAUAUCAAUAAGUCGUGAGUGAUAACACUUACUUUUUUGUGGUAUGGAUAUCUUUGAAGCAUUAAUAUAUAAUUUAUUAUCAGAA
rnacentral:rRNA from 1 species